UACGGAGGGUGCAAGCGUUAUCCGGAUUCACUGGGUUUAAAGGGUGCGUAGGUGGGCAGUUAAGUCAGUGGUGAAAUCUCCGGGCUCAACCCGGAAACUGCCAUUGAUACUAUCUGUCUUGAAUAUCGUGGAGGUAAGCGGAAUAUGUCAUGUAGCGGUGAAAUGCUUAGAUAUGACAUAGAACACCAAUUGCGAAGGCAGCUUACUACCCGAAUAUUGACACUGAGGCUCGAAAGCGUGGGGAUCAAACAGG
rnacentral:rRNA from 1 species